rnacentral:rRNA from 1 species
CAGUCGCCGCGGUAAUACGUAGGUGGCAAGCGUUGUCCGGAAUUAUUGGGCGUAAAGGGCCCGCAGGCGGUUUCUUAAGUCUGAUGUGAAAGCCCCCGGCUCAACCGGGGAGGGCCAUUGGAAACUGGGAAACUUGAGUGCAGAAGAGGAGAGUGGAAUUCCACGUGUAGCGGUGAAAUGCGUAGAGAUGUGGAGGAACACCAGUGGCGAAGGCGACUCUCUGGUCUGUAACUGACGCUGAGGAGCGAAAGCGUGGGGAGCGAACAGGAUUAGAUACCCCCGUAGUCCCUGUCUCUUAUAC